rnacentral:rRNA from 1 species
UACCGAGGUCUCAAGCGUUGUUCGGAUUCCUUGGGCGUAAAGGGUGCGUAGGUGGCGCGCUAAGUCAGGUGUGAAAUCUCGGGGCUUAACUCCGAAACUGCAUUUGAUACUGGCGUGCUUGAGGACUGGAGAGGAGACUGGAAUUCAUGGUGUAGCAGUGAAAUGCGUAGAGAUCAUGAGGAAGACCAGUGGCGAAGGCGGGUCUCUGGACAGUUCCUGACACUGAGGCACGAAGGCCAGGGGAGCAAACGGG